rnacentral:ncRNA from 1 species
UGUGCUAUACCUUGUUUGUUCCGGACGAGAUGCGCCGUACCCGGUUAAGACAAGACGACGCUUU